UACGAAGGGGGCUAGCGUUGCUCGGAAUUACUGGGCGUAAAGGGCGCGUAGGCGGCCUGUUAAGUCGAACGUGAAAUCCCUGGGCUCAACCCAGGAACUGCGUCCGAUACUGGCAGGCUUGAAUCCGGGAGAGGGAUGCGGAAUUCCAGGUGUAGCGGUGAAAUGCGUAGAUAUCUGGAGGAACACCGGUGGCGAAGGCGGCAUCCUGGACCGGCAUUGACGCUGAGGCGCGAAAGCCAGGGGAGCAAACGGG
rnacentral:rRNA from 1 species